AUGACUCAGAGCUCAGCAGCGAGGAGACACUGUAUUCUGCAUGCAAGAGGAGCAGCAGAGGCAGUGCUAAAGGAUCGCUAAGGAGGAAUAUGGAGCAAACACAGAAGGGGCUGGAACAGAAGUAAGCUGUCACCGGACAGGCAAAGGACAGCUUGAGGAUGGAGCCUGCUGUGCUGGCGGGCAGCGAGAAAUAGGCCAAGUGAAUCAGUUUGCUGGAGGGUGAGUUUAGGAACUUAAGUGUUUAGUAUGACUGAAGCUGGCUGAGGGAAGGUUGAGUGAAGGUUUGCAGCAAGGACUGUGGAAAGGGAACUUCAAAGGUCAAGAGGGCUGUGUUAAUUAACAAUUUCUUCAUUUCCCACUGGAGAAGUCCAGAGUCACUAUCUCCCAGCUUGAGGGAGAAGGCAAACCGGAGGUCUGCAAAUGAGAGAGAAAGUUUUUUUCCACUUGUCCAUAGACACAGGAGACAAAGGUAGAGAAAAAGUGACAUAAGCCACACCAAACUUAAUGAUUUCAAUAAGAAUACAGAAAGAGUUGAAAAAAGGAGGGUUAAUCAUCAUGAAGACUGGAAAUCUCAACUGUGAUACAAAUACGUCACAAGGUGUUAAACAUUUUUGACAAGCCAAUCUGGAAAGAACUUGUGCAACUGCUUUUUUUUAUUCUACUGGAUUUUUAAAGCUCAGACAACCUGCGUCACACGAUGGCCAUAAAGAAUGCUGCUGCCUAACAUUGGCACAAGUUCCCGACAAAGUAGCCAGAGUUGGCUUCUUGGAGGACAUUUGGCCAGCUAUGAAACCCCUUGUAGACACUGGAAUGACUAAAAGAAAAGCUUGAUGUUGACGUGGAACAGCAAAAUUGAAAGGACAAAUCCAUUUCCAUGAAACAAUGUGAUCGCCUUCCUCUUUUCUUUGAGGAUAAUAGAGAUGAACAUGCUGGACUGAAAUGCUACUCUGAAUCUCUGUCAGGUGAGAUUAACUGAUGUCCCUGAGGCUUAUGUUAUAAUUAUAUUGUCCUGGACUGAUUGGAGCAAUUCCUGAUCUCAGAAAAUGGCCUCAUUACAGAGAUUUGGCAAGUGGAGGACCUCUUGAGCACACACGCGAGGAGAUUCUUUAAUCAGCCGUGGUGCAAAGGAUCGUUGGACGGGUGGUGAACUUGUGCUCUUUGCUUUUGUCUCUAAGGCAGUUAAUGCCAACAGGGUGUUAAGUUAGAAACUGCCUAGUCUCCGACUAGAAUCACUUGCAUCUCAAGGCGAUUACGCAGGACGACACAGUGCCACGCUCUCCGUUCAGCUAUGGACAAACCAGCUGUGUGGUAAUGUGGGGCAGCCGUUAUGGAUUAACUGUUUCCUUUGCACAUAUGUGGGUGUGACUAUCGAUUAGUGUGUGUUCACACUGAGCUUUGAAGACGAUUGUGUGAGCAUUUGCAUGGAUUCUCCUCACCAGUGACAGACCUGGACCAGAACAGCAGCGGGUGGAAGGGAGAAAGGGAGGCGAAUAAAAAGGAGAAGGAGCAAGCGGAGGUGACAGAAACACAACGGACGAAGAGGGGGGAACCACAACGAAAAUGCUCAGAUAAAGAGAAGAAACAAAGGACUCUUUGGUUGCCACCCUGGUGCGAUGUGUGGCACUGUGCCCUCUGGUGGUGGGGUUCUGUGAUGGUAACCAUGAUACCCGGCAGCCACUAUGUCUGCAGCGCUCACACCAGAGAGGAUGACUCAACUAAUGACCGCGAAGAGCGAAUUUUAGCUGUGCUGGGCAUCAUUGGAACCAUCCUAAAUCUGUUAGUGGUUAUAUUCGUCUACAUCUACACCUCCGUCACCUGAGGCUUCCCACAGGACCUCAACGAAAGAUGCUGGUGCCAAAGCCUCCUCCUGCCACUGCAUCCCUGCCUCUGGAAGUAGUCAUAUACUUUUAGAGGGUUGCUUCACUGGCUGUUGACAUGCAAAGUUUAGACAUCUGCAGGAACACUAACUCCACUACAGCAUGCAGGGUAACUAUGUGGUGUUAAACCAAAACUGUGUUUUCACAUUUUAUAAAUAUUCACAUCUCUAAUACUCUAAUAAUCAAGACUGAUUAAGGAAAAACAGGUUUUUGACUUCACAGAUUUUUGUUCUGAAAUCUGACUGUGAGGCCUAAUCUUUGCUGUGGAAAUGCUAAGAUUUGCGCUUUUUUGUUUGUUUAUUUUUUGAAAGAGUUGAGAUCAUCACUGCCAAUAGAACUGCCAGCCAAUAUUACAAUCCCAUAUGAGCAACAGGAGAGCUUUGAGCUAACGUGAGAAAAUUAGAAAAUGACACCAUUACUUUUGACCAAAAUCUAAACCUUUGCCAAAAUCUAAAUGCUUUGACUCAAAUAGCACUUAAACAUCUCCUCAAACUGUACAUUUGUGUAAUUUAAAAAAAGCAUAGCCAUUCCAAAAUAUCCAUUCCUUUUCAUUUGGAGGAGUUCAAGAAGAUAGUUUUACAUGGAACUGACGUGUCCGCACCCGAGCACACCUGAGGAGAGAUUCCUGGCUGUGCUGGGAGUUAUUGGGAUUGUCUUAAACUUGCUACUGCUUAUCUUUGUGUAUAUUUACACCUCCAUUUGAUGGAGCUUUGUAAAUACAUAUUUCAAGUCGUCUUCUUAUGGUGGGUUCUGAGAUUACUUGCACAUCUUCAAAUCAUUCAAAUUUUCAUAUUGCAACCACAAUUGUAAAUUUUAAAAAAUAGCUUGGUUCAUAAGUAACAUCAGGUGAAUUUUAAGUCGACUUGAGCUAAUAUGAAAGUGUUGGGUAUUUUAAUGAAACAGCAAUGACAUACAGAGUGCAAGUAAAGGAGCUAUUUUUAGAAGUUAGACACUUUCUUUGUUUGGACUUCUCUGUGUCAACCUAUUCUCUACAGUUUGUAUUUUUAUCAUCCAGAACUUCAUGUAUGAUCAGUAAACUGUUUACCUAUGUUUGCAUUGCCUAAGUGAAAUAUUUUUUCACAAAAUUGGAUCAAAAUUGGAGUAAACGCUAGUUUUCUAUUUCUUCUACAGGCUUACUGACACUGAAAUCAGACAAAAAAUAAAAAAAUAAAAAAGGAACAAAAUACUGUUGGUGAUUUGAUCCAUGCAGAAAACCUACAUAUCAUUGAAGAUCACUCUGCUAAUGUUGGGUGCCACAGAGUGAUGGAUAUUUUUAUGCUGUCAUGUUUCUUUGAUUGGAUUAGAAAACCAGACAUGGAGGAGCAGCAUCGGAGAGAGCAGGCCCUGAACUUGAAGCAAAGCCACUUGGAUUUAGACAACAGAGUGUUUUGGCUGACCUCAAACAGCUACUAUAGCAAAGUCGAAGAGGAGCGGCAGGCAACGUCUGAAAAAGGAGGACAGAAAAAUGCUGUAAAGGAGUCCACUGUUUGUUACAAAACUAACGAGGGGGUUAAGAACCUGUUUCACUAUGCUGGAGCGACAUACCUAAACAGAUGUGAGUUUAGUUUUAAGCAGCGCAUAUCUAAUGUUGAAGUAGACCUAAACACAGCUGACAGGAAAGCAACACAGACCGGGCUGAAUAUACACUUCAUCCUGGUCGUUCUUUUCUCCACUGACAAACUAAUACCUGAGAAGACAUAAUAACUCCUCCUUCCCUGCUGCUACUUUACAAACUGUUGUUAAGGAAACAGAUACACACAAAAAAACAACUGCCCAUGUGUCUAUGUGCAAUUUAACAUGUUGGCUCAUGUGAAAAAGUGUUAAGAUUUUUGAGUAAUUCUGUUAAAUUGUUGUCACGCAGUGUAGUGUCUCUCUUCAAUUUCUCCUUUGAGUUUCUUUGGUUUACAAAUCCAGAGGCCAGAAUCCCAGCGUUGAACGAUGUUUGAACUGAAAGUGACAACAAUAUAUUUUUAUAAGCUGUUGAAGGUUCAAAUGGGAACACCAUCGACAAAGAACAUUACAAAUAUUCAUGUGAAUGUUUAACAUAAUACGUUUAGUUGUUUAACUUUAGUCCAAAAAACCUAAUGCAUCUAUUUUAUACAUUUGAAUUUUCAUAAUAUUCAGAGGUAAAUUUCAAAAGAUCUCUUCCACAUUUGCAAAGUCUGGAAGAUCCUCAUAGAUAUACUGCCUGUGCCUCAUUUGGAUUUACUUCUAUGAACAUGUGGUUGGUUGAUUACUUGUAUAAUUACUGCUGCUCUGUUCAAUGUUAAAUUUGCAGCAGCAGAGUAACAAACAUAAAUGUCAGAAAAACAAAAUUUUUCAUUUCCCUCUUAAGCUUUUAAGGCUGAACAAUGCCUAAAAAUCCUGAAAUCAUGCAGUUAGAUCUUUACAUAAUAAUCAACAUGAAUGCCCAAUUAAUUUAGGGCUUUCACUGAUUUUUAUUUGAACAAUUAUUUAACCAACCUGUAAUCUCACAUGCAAUUUUAGUGAUUUUUAAAAGUUUGGGUGCACAUACACUAGAUUUAAUUCAUAAAUUUACCUUAGUAAUACGUCUGGCUGUGGCCUCUGGCAUAAUUUAUGUCAAUAGUUGUUCAUGAGGAAAUCAGGAACAAACAAGGCGUAUGCCAAUCAUGAAAAAUGUUACAGUAUGUGAGUAACUCUAGAUAGUGAAGUGUGGUAAUGCUCUAAGAUGAAGUGCUGAGUAAGAAAGAGGCCUCGUCUGCAAAAUACCUUAAAGCAUGAAAGCAAUUUGCAUCUGCCCAGAUGGAUGAGCCAGAGGCCUAAUAGAGAAAAACUUGAGAGACUAAAGGUAUAGAAUGACAAAGAGUGUUUCAAACCCCAAACUCCCUAAAACAAUGUACCACAUCUUAAGUUUCAAAAUGACAGCCUUGUAGGGUCGGUGUAGCUGACAGUGGUACUAAUGCAUUCUUUGAUUUUAGCUCAAAUCUUCAAAAAGAUGAUUGAAACUCUGACACGGGAUGACAGUCCCAAAUGCACAAUCAGAACGUUCUUUAUUGUUAUAGCCAGCCAACAUUAACCGUUUUGAACGCUAUUAAGAGUUGGUGGAUUCCUAGUUUAAAAGAAAACUAGGAAAGAAAACAAUUUAUUCAAAUUCUUUUUCAAAGUUAAAUGCUCCAAUAACCAGAAUUAUGGCAGACGUUUGUUUCAGAAUACAAAAAACAAAUGUUAUUGCUCUGCAACAUACUACUGGACAUUUAUCCAAAUAUUAGUGUGGGUGUAUGAAGAAACAUUUAAACUUCUAUGUAUAAUUUUAACUCAAAGUGGAUUAUUGAACAUCAAUGCAAAAGUCAGACUUGAGCUGCUAAUACUUUGAAAAAAUUGUUCCCUAUUGAAAUAACAAACAGAAAAUUAUAUUCCAGGAAAAUCAGCAAAAUUAGCAUAACACUCAUGCUGAUGAUGUGGAUAUAAACUGCUGAUGAGGAAACUAAAAAUCAUAACGCUUUGAAAUCAGUCCUUUGAAAUGAUACGUAUAGAUAUGUUUAUGUUGAGAUUGCUUUUUAAUAUGGAUUCAAUUUUUGUAUAUUAGGAUAACCUUGGCUAAACCGAUUCACACUGAGAUUACCAGCUUGUUUGGUCAAUAUACUGCCUUUAAAAAUAAGCUAAACGUUCUCCACUCACUAUUGUUUCAGAUCGAUUAGACCAUCAGUACAACUUUGAUGAGCUUUUCAUCUUUUUAGAUCACUUUGUAAGAAAGCUCUUCCUUUCAAAAUGACAACAUAACCUAUUCAUGCGUAGGAACAACAUGCUUCCAAAAACAUUUACGCUUCCAAUAAUUAGCAUAAAGCAAAUAAAAUAAAGGAUCUUCCAAUAGACUUCAAAAACAAGGUCUGCUUCAUUUUUAUAACAAUAUUGAUGUUUCACCUUGAGCACUUUGAACUUUCAGUUCUUGAAUUAUCAAAAGACAUGGAAAAUUCAGCUUAAAACUAACAUAUAGUAUGUAACAAAGUAAAGCACUCCACUCUAAAAAAUUAUGUAGCAAAAAAGAAUCGUUGCACCUAAUGCAUAAAUAUCUGCAUAUUGAUCACUUUUAAAAGCUGAUUUAUUACCAUGGCUGCGUCCAAGCUGUAUCAAAAUGCAGUUCAAGUUUUCCCUGGGGACCAGUUUCAAUGUGUGCUCUGUGGACCAAUAAGAGGAGAGAGCCCUGAGGGUGAAUCCUGACCAUCUGCUGCCCAAAUAGACAGACACCAUGUGAACGCAGACACCCACACGCACACACAGCAUGGGUUUCUUUUUUUUUAUCAACUAAAAUCCUCACUUGUCACUAUUUUUUUUACUAUGCAUGAAACCUUUUUCUCGUGUACCUGUAUUUUACCAGAAAACCUCGAAAGACGUCUAAAAGUAAAAAGGAUGUAACCAAACUAAGCAAGCCUUCUCUUGAUGCAUGACACGAUUUUCAUUUUCAAAACAUUUUGACACUGACUGCACGAGGGAAUUUAGACAACCAAGUUGUAUAAUAUUCAUUAAUGCUGAAAUCUGGCAAAAACAAGUGCCUGGUGGGAAAAAUUUGGCCAUAAUAGAUUCCUUUUAAAAGUAAAUACUAUUUUCUGCAUUCAGCCUCACAUCUCCACCCAGAGGAAAAGCCUUGAUAUGCAUGACAAUUUCUGUCAUCUUGUCAUUUUUCAUUUAAAUGCAAACUAUUUUAUUAGUUUAUCAGAAAUGGACAAAUAAUGAAAGGUAGAUGAUAUUAUCCAUUUGCCAAAGUUUUAUAUAAUAAUCCGAUUUUUAAAGUGUUUUUCUGGUAGAUGAAAGAUGUCUGCAAUAACUACCGGAUUGUUUACGUUUGCCUUCGUGAGCAAGUGAUAAAAACUAAUUUAUUUGCAAAAAGGAGAAUUUACCAGAUGACUUGACAACAUGCCGCUGUUUUUUGACUAAGCUGACAAAGAACAAAUGUUUUGAGAUUUGAUGUACUUUCAUAUGUAAAGGUGUAAAUAUGUACAUGUAUAGUUACAGAGAUGUCCAUAAAAAUAAAAAUUAUUCUGUCAAAA